AUUGAACGCUGGCGGCAUGCCUUACACAUGCAAGUCGAACGGCAGCACGGGAGCAAUCCUGGUGGCGAGUGCCGAACGGGUGAGUAAAGUAUCGGAACGUGCCCAGUCGUGGGGGAUAACGUAACGAAAGUUACGCUAAUACCGCAUACGAUCUAUGGAUGAAGGCGGGGGAUCGUAAGACCUCGCGCGAUUGGAGCGGCCGAUAUCAGAUUAGGUAGUUGGUGGGGUAAAGGCCCAACAAGCCGACGAUCUGUAGCUGGUCUGAGAGGACGACCGGCAGCACUGGGACUGAGACACGGCCCAGACUCCUACGGGAGGCAGCAUUGGGGAAUUUUGGACAAUGGGCGAAAGCCUGAUCCAGCCAUGCCGCGUGCAGGAUGAAGGCCUUCGGGUUGUAAACUGCUUUUGUACGGAACGAAAAGGACUGCCCUAAUACGGUGGUCCCAUGACGGUACCGUAAGAAUAAGCACCGGCUAACUACGUGCCAGCAGCCGCCGUAACAC
rnacentral:rRNA from 1 species